rnacentral:lncRNA from 1 species
AUGAAAUAUACUGCAUAAAUUAUUAAUUUAGUUAUACAAGAUGGACUAAAAAAAUUAAUAUAGCAUUUGAAAAUAUUUAAAAAAUAGUGAAGAUUGUUCAAAUUCCUCCACCAUAGCUAGAGGAGUUUGAGAUGAGUGCUUAAGAAUACAAUUUGGAGACAUGCAAAGGAUUAUUACUUAGGAGGUGUUUAGUGCAUUACAUAGGUAAUAUUGCUAUGGUAAUAUGAUUGCAGAG